AGUGAACGCUGGCGGUAGGCCUAACACAUGCAAGUCGAACGGCAGCACAGUAAGAGCUUGCUCUUACGGGUGGCGAGUGGCGGACGGGUGAGGAAUACAUCGGCAUCUACUUUUUCGUGGGGGAUAACGUAGGGAAACUUACGCUAAUACAGCAUACGACCUACGGGUGAAAGCAGGAGAUCUUCGGACCUUGCGCGAUUGAAUGAGCCGAUGUCGGAUUAGCUAGUUGGCGGGGUAAAGGCACACCAAGGCGACGAUCCGUAGCUGGUCUGAGAGGAUGAUCAGCCACACUGGAACUGAGACACGGUCCAGACUCCUACGGGAGGCAGCAGUGGGGAAUAUUGGACAAUGGGCGCAAGCCUGAUCCAGCCAUGCCGCGUGAGUGAAGAAGGCCUUCGGGUUGUAAAGCCCUUUUAUUGGGAAAGAAAAGCAGCAGGUUAAUACCCCGCUGUUCUGACGGUACCCAAAGAAUAAGCACCGGCUAACUUCGUG
rnacentral:rRNA from 1 species